UUCGCAUUUCCCUCUGUCUCGAUCCUGAAUCAUUUGAACUCUGGACCUCAAUUCAGGUAGGACUACCCGCUGAACUUAAGCAUUCAACACGGAAGAAAAA
rnacentral:rRNA from 1 species